AUAAGCGGAGGAAAAGAAACCAACAGGGAUUGCCUCAGUAACGGCGAGUGAAGCGGCAACAGCUCAAAUUUGAAAUCUGGCGCCCCCGGCGUCCGAGUUGUAAUUUGUAGAGGAUGCUAUUGGGUUGCCACCGGUCUAAGUUCCUUGGAACAGGACGUCACAGAGGGUGAGAAUCCCGUAUGUGACCGGCCAGGCGCCUUCUGUAUAGCUCCUUCGACGAGUCGGGUUGUUUGGGAAUGCAGCCCUAAAUGGGAGGUAAAUUUCUUCUAAAGCUAAAUACCGGCCAGAGACCGAUAGCGCACAAGUAGAGUGAUCGAAAGAUGAAAAGCACUUUGGAAAGAGAGUUAAAAAGCACGUGAAAUUGUUGAAAGGGAAGCGCUUGCAAUCAGUCUCGACGGCGGCUGUUCGGCCUCUCUUCUGAGUGGUUUAUUCAGUCGCCGCCGGGCCAGCAUCAGUUUCGGCGGCCGGAUAAAGGCGCGGGGAAUGUAGCUCCCUCGGGAGUGUUAUAGCCCCGCGUGCAAUACGGCCCGCCGGGACUGAGGUCCGCGCUUCGGCUAGGAUGCUGGCGAAAUGGUUGUAAGCGGCCCGUC
rnacentral:rRNA from 1 species